UCUUCGAUAGUAUAGUGGUAAGUAUCCCCGCCUGUCACGUGGGAGACCCGGGUUCAAUUCCCGGUCGAAGAG